GGGUGGGGGGGGGGGGGGGGGGGGGCGGGGGGGGGGGGGGCGGGGAAGGGGGCGUGCGGCGGGGUUCAGCGGCGGGCGGGUGAGUAAGUGCCAGGAAUCUUCCUCGGAGUGGUGGGUAACGACCCGGAACGGGCGCCAAAGCAGCCUACGUCCCGAGGGGAGGAAGGUGUGAUAUUCGGACCCCACCCUAUCGUAUACCCCCAGGUCGGAUUAGCUAAUUGGUGGGGGAAAGGCCUCCCAAGGCGACGAUCCGUAACUGGUCUGAGAGGAUGAUCAGUCACACUGGAACUGAGACACGGUCCAGACUCCUACGGGAGGCAGCAGUGGGGAAUAUUGGACAAUGGGCGAAAGCCUGAUCCAGCCAUGCCGCGUGUGUGAAGAAGGUCUUCGGAUUGUAAAGCACUUUAAGUUGGGAGGAAGGGCAGUAAGUUAAUACCUUGCUGUUUUGACGUUACCAACAGAAUAAGCACCGGCUAACUUCGUG
rnacentral:rRNA from 1 species